UAAGGGUGCUUAACACGUGGGUAAUUUGCCGCAAAAACCCGGGAUAACCCCGAGAAAUCGGGGCUUAAUACCGGAUGUGACCUCCUGGGGGCAUCCUUGGGAGUUGAAAGCUGGGGACUGUUAAAGGCCUGGCAUUUUGCGAUAAGCCCGCGGCCUAUCAGCUAGUUGGUGAGGUAACGGCUCACCAAGGCUUGGACGGGUAGCUGGUCUGAGAGGACGACCAGCCACACUGGAACUUGAGACACGGUCCAGACACCUACGGGUGGCAGCAGUCGAGAAUUCUUCUCAAUGGGGGAAACCCUCAAGGAGCGACGCCCGCGUGGGGGAUGAAUGGCUUCAGGCCCGUAAACCCCUGUCAUUCGGGAUCAAACGUU
rnacentral:rRNA from 1 species